AACGAACGCUGGCGGCAGGCCUAACACAUGCAAGUCGAGCGAGGACUUCGGUUCUAGCGGCGGACGGGUGAGUAACGCGUGGGAAUGUGCCCUUCUCUACGGAAUAGCCCUGGGAAACUGGGAGUAAUACCGUAUACGCCCUAUUGGGGAAAGAUUUAUCGGAGAAGGAUCAGCCCGCGUUGGAUUAGGUAGUUGGUGGGGUAAUGGCCUACCAAGCCGACGAUCCAUAGCUGGUUUGAGAGGAUGAUCAGCCACACUGGGACUGAGACACGGCCCAGACUCCUACGGGAGGCAGCAGUGGGGAAUCUUAGACAAUGGGGGCAACCCUGAUCUAGCCAUGCCGCGUGAGUGAUGAAGGCCUUAGGGUUGUAAAGCUCUUUCAGCUGGGAAGAUAAUGACGGUACCAGCAGAAGAAGCCCCGGCUAACUCCGUGCCAGCCGCCGCGGUAAAAC
rnacentral:rRNA from 1 species